AUUACAUCACCCAAUACGGUGACUUACAGGGUGUGUAUUCCUUGGGCAAAUUUAAUAAUUAGAAAAAAGUUAGUGCCUUGGAUAUAAUUCUAAUAUUGGUGUCCGGUUUAUGCAGCUGUUUGUGUGUUUUCUUCAGCUAACACUGUGAAAUCCACAGCGAGCUUCACGUUUUUAGACGUUCACACACGAUGUAGUACAAGUCCGAGGUAAGUCGACGGGUGAAGUCGUUAUGGAAUUGAGGUAGGUAAAUUUUAUUUUAUACUCCCCACCCCACCCCCAUCCCCACCCUAUAUCAACGUCUGUGUGAAAAUCCGGUGCAGGUCACCUAGUGUUGUAUAAAAUUAAGUGUUUGGUAGUAUGUCGUUUUUCAAUCAAAAAGUGUAGUUUUAAUGAAUAUUGGGAAAGUUGAUAUGGUUUUCUAUUUCCAGAAAUAUUUUUGAAUGUAUUUGCAUGUUAGAAUUUGGAGUUAACUCAACUUGAAUUUUUCUUGAAGACUAUAAUCUUGACAAUAAAUAUACUUGUAUAUAUGUAUCAGAUUUUUUGUCUUAUUAAAGUUUGUUUUUUAUUAUUUCCCUCUGCAUGGGCUCUUUAUUGAAAAUAAAGCGUUUUAAAGCCACAAACUCUUUUUUUUUUUAAUUAUGAAAAUAGAUACAAACUUUAUGGUUAUAUAAUGAAAUGAAUAAAGUAAUUUCAAAGCACGGAAAUUCAUUUUUGUCCACGAUUUCUCAUUUAUGUCCAAUACAGUGGGGACACUUUGUAUAGAGUUUUGUGGGGAGGGGGAGCAAUAUAUCACAAUUUUUUCACAUCGUAAAAAGUAUAUAAAGUUUCCUUAUAUUUUAGGAAUUUGAUUGUUUUACAACCAGAAUACCCACUUUCAACAAAAAAUGUAAACCCAUGAAUUCAAUUUCUUUGUUUAUAGCAAGUGUCUUUAACAAAUUUCUAAGACAACAAUUUAUAUAUAUAUAAAAGAAGAAGAAAGUUCAUCUGUUAAGACUUGCUGAAGAGUGAUGACAGUUGACUGUUGAUUAAGAAAAUUGUUGUAAUUUGACUUGAAAUUUGGGUGAAAUUUCUGUUGGUUAACACCCAUUUUCCCAUUCACCCAUUUCACCAAUCCGUAGUUGUAAAUGGAAGGUGUCUGACACUAGCACUAAGUCCAUUAAAAAUUUUGAUUAAUUCAAAUUAUUUUAAAUUUUAUUUUGUAAUUUAAAAUUCACAUGCAAAGGUACCGAAAAUGAGUCCAAAAGCAUGGGUCUACGAAAUAGUUUUGUAGAUUUUAAAACAAGAUUUUAAACACUAAUGUCCAUCAGUCGUGGCCAAAGUCCCUUGCCCACUUUUGAAAUAUCCAUCUUCAGUAAUAUAUGCCACGCCCUGAGAUCAGUGGAACCCAAUUAAGGCAGCAUCAGACAAACUUUUCAUUACAUCAUUCUUUAGUCAAAAACCAAAUUUUUAACCGCCCCUGACCCCGUGACCCAAGAGACAAUCGGAGUCCUACCUAUGGUGGAAAUAAAAAGUGUCUAUCCCGCACAGUCAAGGUCAUAGCCAAGGUUAAUCUUGUUCACACACAGAUACCAUAGAAAAAAUACAGUGGCGGAUGUUAAGGGGGCGCGCUAAAAUUUUCAAAUUUAAGGUGAAUCGUAGUCACUUGUUUUGAAAAAUGUAAACGAUGAAAGAAGCAAUAAUUUCUUUCACUCUCGGAGAAAUCAAUUUUUUGAUUUAUUGAAUUGUUUUUAUUUGGAAAACUUACAUUAUUUCCAAAAAUCCUUAAAAUUUGCGUCAUUUUAUCAAUUUCAAAUUGAACUGGAAAAAAACCCACACAAAUAAACCGAGAAAAAAAUCACUCACCCCCCAUAAACAACCACCCAACUUGGGCCGACAAACAAUCACACAACCCCACCCACUCUCAAGAAAAAAAGUUCGGACUGAGAAAACUGCGAUAUUGCGGUUACCUUUUCUACAACACUAUCAUCACGUGAUUAUUUUUAAAGUUUCAUUAUCUCUCAGCUAUCUCAUGAAAUAGUUCCAAGAAAUUACACGAGACGGAGAAUGCACCAUGCCCUUCGCGUUUUAUAACACCCAUAUACCUUUUCUCUGAAAUUGAAUUACUGACCAAGCAUCUGAGGAUUUUUUUUUUUUAUCUGUUCAAUAUUUGUACUGAGUUAGGACAGUGUGGUUAAAACCAUACCCACAACGACAAUCAGGGGUGGAUCCAGGAAUCACGAUUGGGGGGGGGGGGGGGGUCAACUUUAUGAGGCAGGGAGUCGUGGGGGGGGGGGGGGCUUGAGGCUCCUGGAUUUUACAGAUUUUAUUGGGCUUGAAAUAUGUCUCCUAUGUUGUUAUUUUUACUAUUUUCUGUCAUUUUUGAUCAGGUGAAAUUCAUAAAAUGACGCAAAUUUUAAGAAUUUUUGGAAAAAUUGUAAGUUCUCCAAAGAAAAGUAAUUCAAUAAAUCAAAAUAUUUUGUAAUUUAUUUCUCCGAGAAAGGAAGAAAUGAUUGCUCUGAUUAGCACAUGCUUUGAUACAUUCAUUAAUGUGGAUACAAUACCUUGCCAGUCUAAAGUAUACAUUCUAUGAUAAUUUCUAUCACACGAUUAACUCCAAAUAUCGGCACAUGUUCGCGUGACAAAGCGAUCGUUUGAAUCAAUUAGGAUCUUUCUUACACAAACUCUAAACUAUGGCAAGUCCUUUUACUAUUUAUUCGAAAAAUAAGAUAUCUCUUUAGAUUAAAGAGAUGUCUCUUAUUUUAAAGAGAUAUCUCUUUAAAAUGAGAGAUACAUCUUCUCUCUAAAAGGAGAUGUCUCUUUCACUUAGAGAUACCUCUUUCACACUUUGAGAGAUAUCUCUUUCACUUAAAGAGAUAUAUCCUAUACUUUAAGAGAUAUCUUUUUCAAUUAGAGAGAUAUAUCUUUCACUUAAAGAGAUAUAUUUUACUCUGAGAGAUAUCGCUUUUACUUUGAGAGAUAUCUCCUUCACUUAAAGAAAUAUCUCUCCAAGAAUUUAUAGAGAGAUAUCUCUCAAAGUAUAAGAGAUAUCACUUUAAUCGUUGAAAAAGAUAUUUCUCUCAAAGAAAAAAAGAUAUCUCUUUCCAAUAUUUUUUAUUAGUUUUGGAAAUAUCCCUAAACUGGAAGCCUGCCAAAACAAAUCUUACCAUGAUGGCUGCAAUCCCGGGAUGUUUUGCGUUUGUAUACAGGUAACCCCCCCCCCCCCCCAAAAAAAGACAAUAAAUCGAUAAAAUAUGUGAA